GUCCACGCCGUAAACGAUGGAUACUAGCUGUUGGGAGCAAUCUCAGUGGCUAAGCGAAAGUGAUAAGUAUCCCACCUGGGGAGUACGAACGCAAGUUUGAAACUCAAAGGAAUUGACGGGGGCCCCGCACAAGCGGUGGAGCAUGUGGCUUAAUUCGAUGAUACGCGAGGAACCUUACCAAGGCUUAAAUGUAGAUUGACCGGUUUGGAAACAGAUCUUUCGCAAGACAAUUUACAAGGUGCUGCAUGGUUGUCGU
rnacentral:rRNA from 1 species